rnacentral:rRNA from 1 species
UAGGGAAUCUUCCACGAUGGGCGAAAGCCUGAUGGAGCAACGCCGCGUGUGUGAUGAAGGGUUUCGGCUCGUAAAACACUGCUGUAAGAGAAGAAUGACAUUGAGAGUAACUGUUCAAUGUGUGACGGUAUCUUACCAGAAAGGAACGGCUAAAUACGUGCCAC